CGUGUAGGCGGUUGGGCAAGUCAGAUGUGAAAGCCUUCUGCUUAACAGAAGAAGUGCAUUUGAAACUACCCGGCUAGAGUACGGGAGAGGAGAGUGGAAUUCCCGGUGUAGAGGUGAAAUUCGUAGAUAUCGGGAGGAACACCAGUGGCGAAGGCGGCUCUCUGGCCCGAUACUGACGCUGAGACGCGAAAGCGUGGGGAGCAAACAGGAUUAGAUACCCUGGUAGUCCACGCCCUAAACGAUGGGCACUAGGUGUAGGAGGUAUUCGACCCCUUCUGUGCCGAAGCUAACGCAUUAAGUGCCCCGCCUGGGGAGUACGGCCGCAAGGCUAAA
rnacentral:rRNA from 1 species